rnacentral:misc_RNA from 1 species
GAUGAAGAACGUAGCGAAAUGCGAUACGUAAUGUGAAUUGCAGAAUUCAGUGAAUCAUCGAGUCUUUGAACGCACAUUGCGCCCCUUGGUAUUCCGAGGGGCAUGCCUGUUCGAGCGUCAUUAUAACCCUCAAGCUCAGCUUGGUGUUGGGGCCUGCUGCACUGGCAGCCCUUAAAAUCAGUGGCGGCGCCAUCUGGCUCUAAGCGUAGUAAUUCUUCUCGCUAUGGAGUCCUGGUGGACGCUUGCCAUCAACCCCCAAUUUUUCUAUGGUUGACCUCGGAUCAGGUAGGGAUACCCGCUGAACUUAAGCAUAUCAAUAAGCGGAGGA